UGGGUUAUUGUUUUACUCCAUCAGUACAGACUAGAGGAGACGUCAGAGAGGACAGAUGGCUGAUAUACUGGGUUGUUGUGUUUUACUCCAUCAGUACAGACUAGAGGAGACGUCAGAGAGGACAGAAGGCUGAUAUACUGGGUUGUUGUGUUUUACUCCAUCAGUACAGACUAGAGGAGACGUCAGAGAGGACAGAAGGCUGAUAUACUGGGUUGUUGUGUUUUACUCCAUCAGUACAGACUAGAGGAGACGUCAGAGAGGACAGAAUGCCUAUGACAGGUGGUACAUCGAGACAUUACACUGACAAAAAGCCUUAUGAAAAUGUCAUCAUCUACCAACAGAUAAACAGAAUGCUUGUCAACAACAGCGUUUUGUGGAGAAACCAAUAUUAAAACCACACUAAACUGUAUGAAGUUUAGACAUAUGUAGUAGGUGACAGAAAGGCAUACAUUUAUCAAUGUACCCAGCGUUGUCUGAACCUUGAGUUUACACAGAUCCCUCUAGUGGAGUCCCAUUGUAGUAACUCACCCUGGCCACCCAAACCCCUCUACCAAGCAGUAGAACUGGAGCUGCAAAACUAAGGCCUGCCAUUCAACAAGUAUUAGGUCCUUCAUGUCAACCAAUUCACAUCACAGACACACACAAGCCUAAGGGGAUGGUAUUUCAGCGAGCCAUGUAGCUGUCAGUUUUGUUUUUAUGUCCCUUAAAAAGGGACACACCAAACUGGCAGUUACGACUGUUCCCCAACUCAAGGAUGCCAUUUUGACAAGGGCAACAGUAGCUGCAUGUUCACAGGCACAUUCACAGCUAUUGUCAACGUUUUAAAAAGUGCUUGUAGCAGACAGUAUGGCCCUUGGCAGCUCACACAUUCAGAUGCAGCAACAUCACUUUAUUACACUCAUAAAUCACACUGCUAUCAAAUGCCAUUUUCUGACAACAAAGUUGCUAACGUCUCUAAAGGGAAGGUUACUCUCCUGAGGUCAGCGCUGCUGCCAAGUGUGUUAAAGACACCGUCUGGGACACACACACACUCUGACAAGUGUAUCCACACCAACCUGGCGCUUCCUCCCUGCG
rnacentral:lncRNA from 1 species